CCAGGUGCAUGUGAUGACUGAUCUUUUUUCCCCAGCAGAUCGAUAGUGUUGACAUUUGCUCUAAACUUUAAGCCAAUUUAUCUGAAGCACCAUG
ensembl:snoRNA small nucleolar SNORD12/SNORD106